AAAGCCUCUCCUGUUGCCAGAUUGGACUUCUGUUGGGGCAGCAGGUAUAAAACACAGAGCCCAGCAGUUUAACACCAACAAAAGGCUUCUUGUGAAGCAGGGAUCGAGUUGAAGAAAGAACAAGGAGGUCUGCUACUCAAGGUGAACAAUUACAGUAGUGAUGUACUAAUCCCGCCGACAGGCAGAGUCUCAAGACGUUAGCAAUCAGAGAACUGCGAGGCAGCCUGAUGGCACAGAGAACAAACAAGGAGCUCGAGACCCUGACACAACAGUAAAUGUUUUCAUAGUUCCAGUUCAAGGACAAAGCUUUAGAAGAGAAGAGCAUGUUUUCCACAUUGGACGCUGUAAUGAGGAUCUUGACAUCCUUUCUUGACGGUAAUAUAUCAGGAAGGAGCGCACCAUCCAGUCUAGUGGUGCUGCACCACCCUCACGUCACUGUAAUGGCUUUCACAACCACGCAAACUGUGAUUCCUCUGGCGAUCUUCAAAGCUUGCGUCCACUGGAUGCGAUCCAUGGAAUAAGCGCUGGAGGAAUUCAAAGCCUUCUCCCUCUGCCGCCAGUCACCCAG
ensembl:lncRNA